UAGAAUGAAAUUCAAAACAGUGUGGCUGUGGCCAUUGAUUGACACAUUAAAUUCGUCCAUUGACUGGGACAAUUUAGGUGAACGUUUGUAUGUAACGACCACUGCUCACUAUGCACUUUUUAAGAACUUAAACUAUGGUCACCAAAGGUUCUCAACACCUUAAUAAAGUAAUUCGAAAAAUUAAUCAGAAAUAACACGAUGUUUUGAUUUAUAUCAAUUAUAUAAAUCAAAACAUAAAGGUUAUUCCUGAUUAAUUUUUCGAAUUAUUUUAUAAUUAAAGGCGUUAAGAAACCUUUGGUGACCCCACAGUUUAAAUGUCUAUCGUAGAUACGUCGUUAACAGUGGUCGUUACAGACAAACGUUCACGUAAAUUGUCCCAGUCAAUGGAUGAAUUUAAUGUGUCAAUCAAUGGCCACAGCC
rnacentral:lncRNA from 1 species